GGGGGCACGGAAUUGCAGACUCAACCCCCGGUGAACAACACCCCUGGCGUCGCUUCCGGCGGGCACGCCCGCCGGAGGUUCAAAACUCUUAUUUUUUCCAGUAUCUCUGAGCCUGAAAGACAAAUAAUCAAAACUUUCAACAACGGAUCUCUUGGUUCUGGCAUCGAUGAAGAACGCAGCGAAAUGCGAUAAGUAAUGUGAAUUGCAGAAUUCAGUGAAUCAUCGAAUCUUUGAACGCACAUUGCGCCCGCCGGUAUUCCGGCGGGCAUGCCUGUUCGAGCGUCAUUUCAACCCCUCAAGCCUCGGCUUUUGGUGUUGGGGCGCCCCCGCCCCCCCCCCACACCCCGCCUCCCCCAAAACCCCUAGCCCCCGCCCCUCCCCCCCCGCCGCCAUAACACGCCGCCACCCCGAAAGCCCCCCCAACACCCUGCGAGCCCAGCUCCCCGGCGGCCCCCCCCAAACCCCUCGCCCCGCAGACCCACCGACCCACCCCUCCAAAGACCGGCCCAUUGCGCCCGGACCGCCCCUGCCAUACACCCCCCGGCACCCUCUUCCAGCAGAAAUCCCCUCCAGCCUUUAAAUCGAAUAAUCGCAUCCCCCCCCCCCCCGAGCGUUCACCCCCUAAAACCGGCCAGGUUCCAUUCGUCCUUUAAAUCACGCGGGCCCCCCCCCCCACCCCCACAAGGGCCUCCCAAAAACCCUCCCUAAACCUUUCUUUCCCCCCACCUAAAUCAUCCUCGCACCCCCCGGGAAACAGCAACCAAAAAUCAAAGUCCACCCCACCCUCUUUCCAACCCAACCCCGGGAAAUUCCUCCCUCCGGGGGAUCCCCCUGGGGCCCAAUCCCCAAAUUGCCAAAAAGAAAAACCGCCCCAGCCCCCCCAAAAAAACUGGCCCCCCAAUUUAAAAAGGGUUUAAAAAAUUGGGGUUUGGGAAAAAAUUUUUGGGCCCAAGGCAAAAAAUUUAUUCCCAACCCUUGGGGGAAAAAAAUUUCCCAUUCCCCAAAAAAAUUUCCCCUUUUUUUUGGGCCAAAAAACCCGCCCCCCCCAAAUUUUUUGGGGCCCCGGGGCCCCCCCCCCCCCCCCCGGGGGGAUUUCAAAACUUUUUUUCCCCCCGGGGGCCCCCGGGGGGGGGGCCCCCCCCUUUGGGGCCCCCCCGGGGGGGUUUUUCCCCCCCCAAAAAGCCCCCCCGGGUCCCCCCAAUUUUUUUUUUUUCCCCCCAACCCCCCCCCCCCCCAAAUUAACCCCCCCCCCCCCCCCCCGGGGGUCCCCCCCCCCCCCCUUGGGGGGGGGCGGAAAGGGGGGGGGGGUUUCCCCCCUUGGGGGGGUGGGGGGGGGGGUGGGGGGGGGGCCCCGGCCCCCCCCCCCCCCCCCCCCCCCCCCCCCGGGGGGGGCCCCCCUUCCCCCCCCCCCCCCCCUCCCCCCCCCCCCCCCCCCCCCCCUUUUUUCCCCCCCCCCCCCCCCCCCCCCUUUUGGGGGGGGCCCCCCCCCCCCCCCCCCCCCCCCCCCCCCCCCCUUUUUUUUUUCCCCCCCCCCUUUUUUUCCCCCCCCCCCUUCCCUUUCCCCCCCCUUCCCCUUUUUUUUUUUUUUUUUUUUCCCCCUUUCCCCCCCCCCCCCCCCCCCCCCCCCCCUUUUUUUUUUCCCCCCCCCCUUUUUUUUUUUUUUCCCCCCCCUUCCCCCCCCCCCUUUUUUUUUUUUUUUUGGUUUUUUAAAAUUUUUUCCUUCCCUUCCCCCCCCCUUUUUCCCCUUUCCCUUUUUUUUUUUUCUUUUUUUUAACCCAACCCCCCUCCCACCCCCCCCCCCCCCCCCUCCCCCCCCUUUUUUUUUUUUUUUAAAAUAAAAACCCUUU
rnacentral:misc_RNA from 1 species